UAUGUGUGUGUGUAUGUAUAUGUAUAUAUAUAAUUGCCAUCUGGGUUCUACGUUCGCACGGACUUACGCCCGACCCUGCAUUCCUUAACGAUUCUUUUAAAAAUAAUUUGUAGAACAAUAUAGUGUAAUUUCUGUAUACACGAUAUUACUAUAUUUCACCCUUAUAUUUAUAUUAUGGGUACGAAUAUCGAGCUUAGUCAACAAAAAUAAGCCACAUCUGGACGAACAUUGACGGGGUAUAAAGAGCCCCGCCAGCCUACGUCGGCGGCCUAGUGGACGCACAUGGCCAAGACAGUGACCGUCGGGUGAUCCGACGGAUGCACGUGGUCAAGACGGCACAUUCCGGUAUACGACGCGCAGGAUCCGCUCCAUGAUCGACCCUUUUCUUUAUACAUAUGUGUGUAUAUCAAUCAACGAACCAGUUCGGUAUUGCGCGCGUCGAACGGUGUAGGUGGGGGUGGCCGUCGAUGGCCAUAAUUUUGGACACUUGACCGCUGUCCACCCAAUAUUGAAUCAGUCCUAUUUUCUCUACAGCACAAAACAGACCUCUCCAGAUAUUAUCAGUCACCAGCUCAAGUCAUAAAUAUUACAACACCUCCGUACGAAUAAAGUGAGUUUUAUUUAAUAAUUAUUAUAUGCAGUCGUAUUACACUAGUGUAAUGUCUAUAAUUUUUAAAAUAUCAUUACUUUAUAUUAUAUUAUACGAAAUUAACGUGAGUUAUAUUUUUCAGUUCUGAAUUCAUACCCUAUCAACAUUCAACUACGUCAAGUCAUACACAACUACACGAUCUACUAAAAAUAAAAUUCAACUCGUCUCCGUAGUUCACUUUAUCAAUUCUCCAGUCCGCAGCAGAAACAUCGAAUAAAUUUAAUAUGGAUACGAAUACGAUCUUGUUGGAGUCAUU